rnacentral:rRNA from 1 species
UACGGAGGAGGCAAGCGUUAUCCGGAAUUAUUGGGCGUAAAGCGUCCGUAGGUGGUUUAGUAAGUCUGCUGUUAAAGCGCGGGGCUUAACUCCGUAUCGGCAGUGGAAACUACUAGACUAGAGUGUGGUAGGGGUAGAGGGAAUUCCCAGUGUAGCGGUGAAAUGCGUAGAUAUUGGGAAGAACACCGGUGGCGAAGGCGGGUCUCUGGGCCGAUACUGACGCUGAGGAGCGAAAGCGUGGGGAGCGAACAGG